UGGUCAAUGAUGAGUACUUAUAUUGUCUCUAAGACAUGAUGACAUAAAAACCAACUCAAAAAAAUAUGCUAAGGCCA
ensembl:snoRNA SNORD115 Small nucleolar RNA SNORD115